UGAGAAAGUUUGGGUUAAAUAACCUAUCAUUCAAUCACAUUGAAGAUAAGUGAGUUGGAAAUAAAUUAAUAAAUAAAAUAUAGAAAUUCCAACUCACUGAUCUUCAAUGUGAUUUGAUGAUGAGUUAUUUAAUCCAAACUUUAUCA
rnacentral:pre_miRNA from 1 species